rnacentral:lncRNA from 1 species
CAAAUAUUUUAUAGAGGUGAGAUUAUAAUAUAUUAUUUGUUGUUGUUAUUGUUGUUUGUCAUUUCUAAUUGUUUCAAAUUUGAGUAUAUAGGUAGUAUUUUAGCAAAGGUGAGAGCCAAGAAAAAAGGAAAUAUUGCAGGAGGUAGAUCAGUACCCAUCACAUUCCACUAACCAUUGCAUCAAAAGACAGAAAAAGGCUGAUGAGCUAAAUAAAGCAGAGUUGUUGGAUCGUCAUAGGUAAAUAAACAUAUACAUGUCAGGGUAAAUCUGAAAAUAACGUAUGAAAGAAUUUUAAAAAGUACAAAAUUAUAUAGUUUAGUGGUGAAAUCACUAUAGCAGAGCAAGUAUAUAAGUACCGAUCAAAUCACCAGUUCAUUCAGCAAGGCAAACAUUGAUGAAAUUAAUUCAAUGCUAGAAAUUCUUCAAAUACCAAAUUCUAAUUAAUCUUAAUGAAAACAAUGUAUAUUCACACCUUUAAAAUCUGUUUUUGUGCUUGUAUGCUAAUUUUAGACAGUUAAUUGUGAACAUAUAUGCCAUGAAAAUUUGUGACAUUAUCCAAUCCAAAUAAAUGCAAAAUUAAGAAAUAAUUUCUAUCAUGUCAUGCUCUAUGCUCAUUUUAACAUGGGUAGGCAUUAUAUUUGUUGAUAUUUUACACUGAACGUUUGCAAGGUAUAAAAUGUGGUCAAAUAUAAUGUCUAAUCAUGUUAAAAUGAGCAUAGAGCAUGACAUGAUAGAAAUUAUUUCUUAAUUUUGUAUUUAUUUCUGACUUGAUAUAUCAACAAACUUGUUUUGUGGGUUUUCUUUACAAUUUUUCUUAAAUUGUAAGAAUUCUUUAUUCAGAUUCCUAAUCUAUGGCAAAUGUGACGUUUGUGUAAUGUGACGUUACAAACGUCAAACAAAUCAAUCUAUGGCAGGUUUUUAUUUUCUCCAAAUCUAUGGCAGAUCUUUUUCAUAACGUCACAAUUGAAUAACGCCAAAUUACAUUGUUGAUGGCAGAACCCAAAGAUUUCUUCCAACUGAAGGUAUUUCCCUAGACAACGAUUUGCGGAUGGUUUAAAGGGAGAUGGUUUAUCCCAAAGAGGGACAAAAUGUGCUGAAUAAGGACACUGCUGAUUUCAGUAUCAGAUGUUUUAGAAAAGGAUUUAUAUUAAAUAUUUUACGGCUAGCAAAGUUUAUAAAGUGAAGAUCAAAUUACCGAUACUAGUCUGAUUUAAAAAAUUGUCAUAAGGUAAAAAAAAAGUAUUAACAAUGAAAUCAGUAACAUUACUAGUAUAGAAAGUCCCUGCAUUAUGUGAAAAUUCAAACUGUUCUUUUUUAUUUGUCUUUUUUAUAUAAAAACCUGCCUUCUUGGUUGAUAAGGGACUUAAGUUUGUUUUAAGUUCUAUGAAUUUAUUAUACCCCCGCUUUAAAUUAUACCCCCGCUUUAAAAAAGGGGGGGUAUACUGUUUUACCUCUGUCUUUAUACCCCGCUUAAAAAAGGGGGUAUACUGUUUUACUCUGUCUGUCAGUCCGUCCGUCAGUCCGUCAGUCAGUCCGUCCCAUGAAACUUUCGUCACAUUUUUCUCAGGAACUACACAUCCACCUUUUCUGUAAUUUGGUAUCAACAUUUAUAUAUGUCAGCCAUACCGUGUGAUGCGUUUUCAGAUUCAUCACUUGACAACUUCCUGUUUACCGAACACUUGUCUGAUUUUACACAUGAUAGCCAAGUUGAAAAUUUUCGUCACAUUUUUCUCAGGAACUACAAUACAAGGAUUUCUGAAAUUUGGUUUCAGGAUUUAUAUAAGUCAGCUAUACCGUGUGAUGUGUUUUCAGAUUCAUCACUCGACAACUUCCUGUUUACCGAACACUUGUAUGAUUUUACACAUGAUAGCCAAGUUGAAAAUUUUCGUCACAUUUUUCUCAGGAACUACAAUACAAGGAUUUCUGAAAUUUGGUUUCAGGAUUUAUAUAAGUCAGCUAUACCGUGUGAUGCGUUUUCAGAUUCAUCACUCGACUACUUCCUGUUUACCGAACACUUGUAUGAUUUUACACAUGAUAACCAAGUUAAAAAUUUUCGUCACAUUUUUCUCAGGAACUACAAUACAAGGAUUUCUGAAAUUUGGUUUCAGGAUUUUUAUAAGUCAGCUAUACCGUGUGAUGCGUUUUCAGAUUCAUCACUCGACAACUUCCUGUUUACCGAACACUUGCAUAUUUUUACACUAUUAAUAUUAUCCACUUGCGGCGGGGGAUAUCAUCAGUGAGCAGUAGCUCGCAGUUUCACUUGUUAUUAUUAAAAUGUUCUGGUUGACCAUUAUGGAAUGUUUAUUUCACAAAAGUUUAUAGGCAUGAUCCCGUUGUCGUACAUAGAUAUAGGAAGAUGUGGUAUGAGUGCCAAUAAGACAAUUCUCCAUCCAAGUCAAAAUUUAUAAAAGUAAUCCAUAAUAGGUCAAGCUUAAAACCAAGGGUCUAAUCUAUAUCAAAACGAGAAACGAGAAGUCCACUUGUUAAAGACAAGUCAUUGGCUGUAUAUGUACUGCAUUGUUUUCCUUUUGCACAACAUUUGCCAUAGAUUUGGAAACAACAAAAAUCCGCCAUAAAUUAGGAAAUUACAAAAUUUGCCAUAGAUUAGGAUUGUAAAAAAAUUGCCAUAGAUUUGGGAUAGCAUGACAUCACAUUUGACAUAGAUUAGGAAUCUGCCAUAGAUUUGGAACCCACCAUAGAUUUGAGUCCUACAUAUAUCAUAUAUAAAAAUAUAUUUUAUCGAUUUUGUUCAAAUUAUAUACCUUUAUUUGCCACUUUCUGAUGGUUUCGUUUAACGAUAAAUGUUUAACAGUUGUUAUUAUUACAUUUUAGGUCAAAGAUCUGUAAAACGAAGCCCUGAUGGAAAAAAUUAAAAAAUACAGAGGCAGAACAAAAAAUGGUGAAAAAUUAAGAAUAGGAGAUGUAAUUUAUUAAUGAUCAAGUAAGUAUUCACUGAAAACAGUUAUGUGUUUUAACUUUUUUAUAAAAAUCUGAAAUAUUCAGUUUGGUUGUUUAGAUUUAUAUUAAAUGAAAACAAGACUAUAUAGCAGUCAGCAUACUAUAUAUAGAAAACUAAAGGCUGCAGAGUCAAUCCCAAACAACAAUAAAAAUGAGGUGAUUUCUAAUGCUCCAGAAGGGUAAUCAAUUACUGCCCUAUUUUGGCAACUGUCUUCUUGCUCCACAUUUGUACUAGUAUUGUAAUGGUAUUUGUAUGGUUUGAUGGUUUCAUUUGAUGAAAAAAGAAUUAAGUUUAAUAGAUAAGAAAACUACAAACAUUUAUAAGUCUUUGCUUUGCACAAGAUAGACAAAUUUAUGAACAUAAAAAAUCCUAUCUUAGUCGAAAAAAAUCUUUUGUCUAAGAUUAAUAUUUUCAAAAAUGAAGAAUCGUACAGGGAAAAGUACCUAAGGGAGCUACCAUUUGAUUUUUAUGGGGGGGCUAGGAUGAAAUUUGAAAAAAAUAGGCAGGACAGGAGUUUUGAGUAAAAAAAAAGGCAGGAUGAGACACUUGCAAAAAAAAAAAAGUCAGGACGACAAUUUAGGUAAAAAAAAGGCAGGACCGAACAGAGUGAAAAAUAAAAAGGCAGGACAGAGAUUACAGCUAAAAAAAAAUUCAGGACAAAAUUUUUCAUCCUAGCCCCCCCAUAAAAAUCAAAUGGUAGCGCCCUAAUAUAGAUUUAUGUUUUGGUUUUUUUUGCUGGUCAAACUUGGUAAAAUAAUAAAUGUUUCUACUACACUGGUAAACAUUUCAAGAAUGGUUAAAUUAGAUGAUGAAGAUAGAGUAUUUAAUUGUUAUAAACUACGUGAAUCAUCUGAUGAAUGAUCUCUUUCAAUUGACGAUGUGCAUGGUUUUGUGCAUGUUGUGCAUGAUUGUGGUCAUUGCCGAUGUUGUGUUAUAAUGGCAAGGAAUGAUAGAAAAAUUACCAGGGUUUAUCAUCCUGUUUUUUUAUACUAACCCAAAAAAAAUUCGGGAUUGUAUAAUGGUAUGAUGUCGUCGUCUGCGUCGUCUUCAUCGUCUGCGUUGUCCUCGUCCGAAGACACAUUGGUUUCCGGAUAAUAACUUUAGUUUAAGUAAAUAGAUUUUCAUGAAAUUUUUUCAGAAGGUUCAAUACCACAAAAGAAAGGUUGAGAUUGAUUAUGGGGAUGAUGGUCCUAAAUGAUUAGGAAUUAAGGGCCCAAAAGGAACCCAAAACAAGCAUUUUUCUAGUUUCAGUAUAAUAACUUGUGUAGAAGUAUUUCAAUUGCUCUGAAAUCAUACCACAAUGUAUCAUAUAACAAUGGGGAGGCUUGGAUUAAGUUUUGGGUUAAUUGCCCAAAAUAUGUAGGAAUUAGGGGCCUAAAAAGGGCCAAAAAGAAGCAUGUUUCUAGUUUCCAAACAAUCAUGACAAUAACUUUUGUUUAAGUGUAUGGAUCUCUCUGAAAUUGUACUACAAGGUUCAAUACUGCAAUGGAAAGCAUGGGAUUGAGUUUAAGGGUUAUUGCUCCAAGGAGGUCUCAAAAAGUUGGGGGGGGGGGGAUUUUUUGUUUACCAAUUUUUGAAGAGCUUCCUUUUUUUCAAAAUUUUUCAAAUUUCGAAUUUUGAAAAGUUUCAAGAAGAAAUCUUCUAUUGCACAGUAUUGUGCAAUAGAUUUGUGAGAUCUUUGAUCACAUUAAUUUUGUGACAAAAACUUUAUAAUGUCAAAAACUUGAUCACAAUCCAAAUUCAGACAGAAUCAAGCUUAUAUAUUGUGACAAAAUUUGCCCCAACUGUUCAGGGUUCAACCACUGGGGUCGUAUAUAGCUGUGCCCUGUGGUUAAUUAAUAAGUUUAAAAUGAAUUUCAACCAUAAAUUGUGAUAAUUUUUUAUUCUUUUUUUUCUGUUGUAUAGCAUAUUUUUGGUUGAUAGAGAAUUGUUUACCAAUAAUAACUAUCAAAAAUAUUCAUGUUCCGUUUGUAUUUUUUCCAUAAUUGUUUCAAAAUUUAAUUGUGUUAAUUUCUUUCUUUUUAUGAGAUCUCAACUCUUGCUGAAACUUGACGACAAGAUAAGAAGCCAAGAUCAACAAUACUUUGGAACUACAUCAACACGUAUAAUCAGAGUAAUGUAUUAGUGUCAGACUCCAUAUGAGAACCAAUCUACACUUGGUGUCUACAUGUAUAUGCAAUGUGUUGUCAGAAUCCAGGCACUUAAGAAGCCAAAGAUCAAUUUUAAUUUGGAACUGUAUGCUUUAGUGCUGGCAAAAUCCAUAAAAAAAUCCCAAGAUCACAAAAGAACCUACUUUAUCUACCUGUCACAAUGAUGAAUACAGAUUAUUGAUUCUUGUAAAAAAAAACAAUGAAGAAGAAUAUUGAUAUAAAAAAUAAUGAAAAAUAAGGAUUGUAUUAUAAUGUACAUGAUAUAUACAUGUCAACAAUUACUAGUAUAUUGAAAAUAAAAAUGUUAAUAAACG